rnacentral:pre_miRNA from 1 species
GUGAGAUGGAAUUAGCAUUUGAACAUGCGAUUUUAUGUUGAUUCCAUUUCAUGA